UACAUAGGGGCCUAGCGUUGUCCGGAAUUAUUGGGCGUAAAGAGCUCGUAGGCGGUUCGGCAAGUCGGAUGUGAAAUCUCCACGCUUAACAUGGAGGGGCCAUUCGAAACUGCUGUGACUCGAGUCCGGUAGGGGAGUGUGGAAUUCCCGGUGUAGCGGUGAAAUGCGCAGAUAUCGGGAGGAACACCAGUAGCGAAGGCGGCACUCUGGGCCGGAACUGACGCUGAGGAGCGAAAGCGUGGGGAGCGAACAGG
rnacentral:rRNA from 1 species